rnacentral:rRNA from 1 species
CUUGAACGAUAAAGUUAAAAAUGGGAGAGUAAUGUCUGGGAAACUGCUUUAUGGAGGGGGAUAACUACUGGAAACGGUAGCUAAUACCGUAUAACGUCGCAUGACCAAUUAGGGGGACCUUCGGGCCUUUUGCCAUCGGAUGUGCCCAGAUGGGAUUAGCUAGUAGGUGGGGUAACGGCUCACCUAGGCGACGAUCCCUAGCUGGUCUGAGAGGAUGACCAGCCACACUGGAACUGAGACACGUUCCAUACUCCUACGGGAGGCAUCUUUGGGGAAU